rnacentral:rRNA from 1 species
GUGAUCUAGCCAUGGGCAGGUUGAAGGUUGGGUAACACUAACUGGAGGACCGAACCGACUAAUGUUGAAAAAUUAGCGGAUGACCUGUGGCUGGGGGUGAAAGGCCAAUCAAACCGGGAGAUAGCUGGUUCUCCCCGAAAGCUAUUUAGGUAGCGCCUCGUGAAUUCAUCUCCGGGGGUAGAGCACUGUUUCGGCUAGGGGGCCAUCCCGGCUUACCAACCCGAUGCAAACUGCGAAUACCGGAGAAUGUUAUCACGGGAGACACACGGCGGGUGCUAACGUCCGUCGUGAAGAGGGAAACAACCCAGACCGCCAGCUAAGGUCCCAAAGUCAUGGUUAAGUGGGAAACGAUGUGGGAAGGCCCAGACAGCCAGGAUGUUGGCUUAGAAGCAGCCAUCAUUUAAAGAAAGCGUAAUAGCUCACUGGUCGAGUCGGCCUGCGCGGAAGAUGUAACGGGGCUAAACCAUGCACCGAAGCUGCGGCAGCGACACUGUGUGUUGUUGGGUAGG